rnacentral:lncRNA from 1 species
AGCUCUAGUUGAAGUAUUGGAUCCACUUUAGUCGUUGGGAUUGAUCACAGACACUUUGUUCUUUUGGGUUGAUUCAAUAGAUUAGUUAUGGAGAUGGAAGACGCUUCUCACCACCAUUAUCUCUCCUUAUUAUUAAAUUAAUCAGGGAAUGUCCUCUAAUUAAUUACUAAUUAACAAAUUGCCAAGGAACGUCCUUGGGCCUUAGGCAUCAAAACAAUUGUCAAUUGCAUUAAGAAAUAGAGAGAUCCAAUCCUAACUACCCAAACGUAUGGAGAUAACGCUAGAUCAUGCAAUUUCCUUGGGUUUUAUCCCAAGUGUUCUCAUGUAAG